rnacentral:rRNA from 1 species
GACGAACGCUGGCGGCGUGCUUAACACAUGCAAGUCGAACGGUAAGGCCCUUCGGGGUACACGAGUGGCGAACGGGUGAGUAACACGUGGGUGAUCUGCCCUGCACUUCGGGAUAAGCCUGGGAAACUGGGUCUAAUACCGGAUAGGACCACUGCCUGCAUGGGUGGUGGUGGAAAGCUUUUGCGGUGUGGGAUGGGCCCGCGGCCUAUCAGCUUGUUGGUGGGGUGAUGGCCUACCAAGGCGACGACGGGUAGCCGGCCUGAGAGGGUGACCGGCCACACUGGGACUGGGAUACGGCCCAGACUCCUACGGGAGGCAGCAGUGGUGAAUGUUGCACAAUGGGCGCGAGCCUGAUGCAGCGACGCCGCGUGAGGGAUGAUGGCCUUCGGGUUGUAAACCUCUUUCAGCACCGACGAAGCGCAAGUGACGGUAGGUGCAGAAGAAGGACCGGCCAACUACGUGCCAGCCGCCGCAGUAA